rnacentral:RNase_P_RNA from 1 species
AGGGGUAGCCGGAUGGCCGCCCCGCCACAGCACGUCGGCGGGGAGGAAAGUCCGAGCUCCACAGGGCAGCGUACCUCGAUAACCUCGAGGCACCCGGCGGAUCACACCGGGUCGGAUCAGAGCCACAGAGACGAGUAGUCCCACCACUUGGUGGGAGCCGGCUAACGGCCGGCCAGGAUCGUUGUACGAUCCUUUGGGUGGACCGAAGGUCCACCCACCACCAAGUGGUGGGAUGAGGUGAAACGCGGCAAUCUCUACGCGGAGCAAGGCCAAACGACUUGCCUUUCGGGCUGCCCGCCCGAGUAUUGGGGUCAGACCCCAAGGGGUCUGACCCCAGAUGGCAGGAGGGUAGGCCGCAGGAUCCCGGCGGCAACGCCGGGACCAGAUGGAUGGCCAUCAUCUCGGGGUCUGACCCCCUUCUUUGGGGUCAGACCCCGAGGGACAAAACUCGGCUUACAGGCGCCGCCUUGGC